rnacentral:rRNA from 1 species
CACGUAGGGUGCGAGCGUUGUCCGGAAUUAUUGGGCGUAAAGAGCUCGUAGGCGGUGUGUCGCGUCGGCCGUGAAAACCUGCAGCUUAACUGUGGGCUUGCGGUCGAUACGGGCAUCACUGGAGUUCGGUAGGGGAGCAGGGAAUUCCUGGUGUAGCGGUGAAAUGCGCAGAUAUCAGGAGGAACACCGAUGGCGAAGGCAGCUCGCUGGGACGGUACUGACGCUGAGGCGCGAAAGCGUGGGGAGCGAACAGG